rnacentral:rRNA from 1 species
GACGAACGCUGGCGGCGUGCUUAAUACAUGCAAGUCGAACGGAAAGGCCCUGCUUUUGUGGGGUGCUCGAGUGGCGAACGGGUGAGUAACACGUGAGUAACCUGCCCUUGACUUUGGGAUAACUUCAGGAAACUGGGGCUAAUACCGGAUAGGAGCUCCUGCUGCAUGGUGGGGGUUGGAAAGUUUCGGCGGUUGGGGAUGGACUCGCGGCUUAUCAGCUUGUUGGUGGGGUAGUGGCUUACCAAGGCUUUGACGGGUAGCCGGCCUGAGAGGGUGACCGGCCACAUUGGGACUGAGAUACGGCCCAGACUCCUACGGGAGGCAGCAGUGGGGAAUAUUGCACAAUGGGCGGAAGCCUGAUGCAGCAACGCCGCGUGCGGGAUGACGGCCUUCGGGUUGUAAACCGCUUUCGCCUGCGACGAAGCGUGAGUGACGGUAAUGGGUAAAGAAGCACCGGCUAACUACGUG